GAAUGCCGGCUUGGUAGAGAGGAGCACGCGUAGGGGCACGUUAGGGGAAGGAGUUCAACAGGUCUGAAGAAUGCCGAGGGUGCCGUGGUUCUUGUUCCUCAUCUGUUUGUGCUCCAGUCAUAGCUCCUGGCCCCCAGCUCCUAAAAGGCAUCUGCCUGCCCUGCAACUUGCCAGCGUGGGUCUACAGGCCAGAGGCACUCCAGACCAAGCAUCCGGAUACUUGUUCCGGUCACAGUCCUGUCCUCUGCUGGAUUUUAUCACCAUGAGUAGAAGCUAGCAGGGAGAUGUCACAGCUUCUCCUUCCAGCUUCUGAGUACAGGGUGGGAAGACAGUGAGCACACAGCUCCAUGUUUCUACUGCCCUGGGGUCCCCCUACCCUGACCAACCUGAGAGGUUUUAAGCACGAGGACCUAGUCUUCUUCAAAUCUCAGCUCAACCCAGAGGUGGAAUCGGCAUGAAGUUGAUGCUGCUUGAGCAUCCGGGUCUCUGUAUGGUUAUGUUGUCAUGCUCCUGGGAAACUCACAAAGUCACCUCUGCAUGGAGAUCAAUCCCUGCUAGCCACCUCUGUGUUUGGAACAGCUUCUAGGAGUCUUCCUACCCACUGUCCAACUCACUCAGAAUUGUGACUUCAAGGUGUCCUAUCCAGUGGUCGUCUCAUGACAUGAAUGUUUUAUGUCACCUGGCCCUGGAAGCAUAUGGACAAUGAAGGAGAAACAGGCUUUAAAUGUGCA